rnacentral:lncRNA from 1 species
AUGAAUUGCCCCAAGCCCAGGAGUGCCCUGGUCCUCAGAGCCCACAGCUCAGCCUGGUCUCAGCUCUCUCCCUCCCAGAGGCCUUGGGAGGGCCGGACCCUCCUUCUCUUCUCCUGCCGCUCCUCCUCCUCUGCUGACCUCUGCCUGGCUGGCUCUUCCUUCCCCUUUCUCCAGCACCCCUCUCCCCACCCCGCCCUCGGCCCAGCAGAGACAGGGUUUGAACCCUUGCUUGCCACCCCUUCCACCCCUGCUGGACCUCAAGGGCCCCUCCUGAACUUGCCGUUGGUGUCAGAAGUGCAGGAAGCCUCCUGUGCCCUCUGAUCUGGUAGUUGGUCCCAACCUGCUGCAGCUUCAUUCACUGAAUCCUCACGAGAACACUCUAAAGAGGUACCACCACCAUCAAUACUGCCUUACACAUUGGGAAGCUGAGUUAAGUCACCUGGUCGAGGUUGCACGUUUGGCAAAUGAAAGACAGGUGAGAUGUGGGGGCGGGCAGCCAGGCACUAGAUUCUAUGUCCAUAACCGCUGUGCUAUACAGCCCAACUGGGGGGCCUGGAGGGAUUCGAGGGCUUACAGGGGACAGUUCCCUGAAGGAGUUCCCCAGUAAAGAGGCUGAGAUUUGUCCUGGGAUCAGUGGGGAGACUUUGAUGGUUUUAAGCAGGGAGUAACAUGCAUAGCUGUGGGUUUUAGCAGGGUCCCCCUGGAUGCAGCAUGGAGAGUGGACUGCAGACAAGUCUGAGUGGGAAGAAGGCCCAAUAUGAGGCCACAACAGCAGACCAGGUGAGGACAAUGGACAACAGACCACCUGAGCCAUGGUCCAGGGGAUGGAGAGCAAUGGACAUGAUCCAGGUGCACCUAAAAGGUAUAUUUGACGGGACUUUUGGGAUGGAUUGAAUUUAGGGCAUGAGAGAGUGAGAGGAGCCUAAGAUAACUCUCAGGCUUCUGGAUUAGACAAUUAGGGUGCUAAGUCCUUAAUGUGGGGGACGACAGAGGAAGAACAGUUUUGGGGUGGGCUAUACCACCACUAAUGGUCCUAGAAUCUCAAGGGGUCAAUGCCUGGGGCCAAUGUCUGGGGCCAGGACUGCUGCUGCUAGCUCCAGGGCUGAGGUGGCACACUCCCCUACCUCGGAGUUGCCACCAGGUGGUAGCAGAGGCCACCUUUUCCCAGGGAGGAAGUCUAGCUGUGGGAGAAGGAAACCUCUCUGCUGGGAACACACUUACUGGGGAGACCUGGGGAAGUGGGCCAGGAGCCUCAUCCAGGGCACGUGAAUUCUAAUUCUCACAGGUACAGUGUCAAAAGAACCCUGAUCCAGGAGGCAGGAAUCCCGGGUUCUAGAUACUGCCUGUGACCCACACCUGCCCCUCUCUGAGGCUCAGGUUUCUGCCUAUAAAGAGUGCAAGCCCUUCAAAGGAGCCAUAGGCUGGCAGGGGCACUUUUAAGCCCUUCCCUGACUUUCUACCCCUAAAUAGCUGUGGCGUCCAAACAUAUUUGCAGAGGCAACAUCUUUUUUCACAAACAAAAUCCUACGUGCUCCUCACCCACUCCAUGUAUAAACCAGAGAACAGGUUUAUCACUGAUCUGCUUUAGUCAGAGUGGAGGUUGGCGACCCUCCCAGGCCACACAGAGGCUAGUCCAGCCCCUCACCCUGGUAUCGGAGGCUCUUCACUCCCUCACUCUUCAUCACCUUCUCUCACUACUCCCUACCCCUACUCUAUGUGACUCUACUGUGUGGAGGAUCAUGACUGGCUACGCACUUUGCAGGGCCCAGUGCAAGAUGAAGCAGUGGGCCUCUCAUUCAAAAAAUUUUUUUUUUAAUUUUCUGACAGUGACAGUAGAGCAUUAAACCAAGCACAAGUCACACAUCCGUGGAGCCACCCAUGAAGUUCUACACAAUGCAGGGUGUCUGAAAUCCAGCCAGAAGUACCCAAAUGUGGGGCUUUGUCUGCCAAGAAGACAGUCACCUUUUUCUUCCCUCAAGGCACUUUCUGCUGCCAAGCUGCGGUCCGGCAAGACUACACCCACUCAGAAGGGAUGGUACCUUUUCCUAAGUCAUACAAAGGUACCAUAUUGGCCAGCAGCCACCCUGACCAAUCCUCUGAGAUUUCCUGGCCCUGGAACAUGAAAUGUGCUCCCAGGCUGCUUGCUGAAUGAGGGAAGCGGACCAGACAUUGUAAAGCAGAAUGAGCAUAAAGCCUGGCACACAACUGUGUGGCCCACUGAUGUUUGACAAAUGACGAAAUGAAUGACUAAGUGAACGCUGACGACCAGACAGACAGACAUCUAAGUAAUGGCACUGUGGCGUUACAGAGCUAAAAGAGGCUGGGGUUUUCAAACUCUAGAGUUCUUCAAAGCUGAAAGGAACUGCAAAGCUGUGCUGGGGACAACACAAGGCCAUAUGGCAAAAGCCAGGCACUCAGGGAUCAGCCGUUUCCUGCCUUUCAUCCUUUUAUGUCUCACAUUCUGAACUCCUAUGCAAGCUUUUGUUUGAGGAAGAAAUCUGCUGGCUCAGGAAGGGCAAGAGAUUUGCCCAAUGUCACACAGCAGAGGCUGGGAAGAGGAGGGCAAAGAAGAGGGGUCAGAGAUGUGAGGUCAGAAAUCUGUGGGGAGCUCCCAGAUGAGAGGCUGAGGCCACAGGCAGGAGAGUGAGCAUCAGAAACCAGAGGUUUGUACCAGAGAAGUGAGACCAGGGCGGAAGAGCCCAGGCAAGCCAGCUCAGAGCACAGAUUCAAGGUCAAGUUCCAAACUCAGAGGCCAAAGGCAGGGGUGCAAUUCACUGCUUUUAUUUACUGAGCAACUACUAUGUCCCAGGCAGAGUUCCAGCCCUGGGGUGCAGCCGUGGACCAGACGAGGUCCCUGCCCUCGCACAGCUCACAUUCCGGAGGGAGGGGAGGGGCAGGAAAUAAACAUUAUUUUAAGAAAACCUAUGAACCAACCAGCCAGAGCUAAUAGGAAGAAAAUGAAACAAGGACAAGGAGAGACUAGCGGUAGGUGGGCUAGUUCAUACAGGGUGGUCAGGGAGGGCCUCCCUGAGGAGGUGACAUU